rnacentral:tRNA from 1 species
GUGGCUGUAGCUCAAGGGUAGAGCGACUGUUUGUGGAACAGUAGGUUGCGGGUUCGAAUCCCGUCAGUCACC